ensembl:lncRNA
AGGGAAUUGUUUUUGUUCAGCACCAGUCUUGGACCCGCAGCUGGCGCCGUGGUGUCCAUAUGUUGAUGUCGUUGAUUUUUCUUCUCUGCGAGCAGCUCAGGAGAAUUUCAAAGCUGUUCUUUAACAGUCCGACACUGGUCUCUCAAUCUCCCGUUGGAUAGCCGCGAGCCUCCCCACGAUGGUAUCAAACUUCUGUUCCGUGGUGUUGGUGAGACCCCACAACUGCGGUGAUCCGUUCUGCGAUGUGAUCCAACUUUCGCUCAAGGGUCUCAUUUUGAGCAGGCCUCUCUCUGAUGUAUCCCGCUGCCAAUUUUAUUUUUUUGACGGUGCAAAAUGUUUCGUCAACAUCGUCGACAUACAGCACUGCACUUCAGAGUCACACUGCUAGCGAUCGAUGCAGCGAUUCUGUACUGUAGCAGGAGACGGCACGGAGGAGAUCGUUUGCAGCGAUCAGGACACAAUGUGAUGUAAAAAAAAAUGCAAACUUGCACUAAAAAAAUCUGUGAAACAGCGAGGUGAAAGGUGAACUGCGUUAUAGCGAGGGACCUCUGUAAUUUUGAAGGCAUUUCAGAGAAUAUGGCAGCACAUCCAACCGGCCUCACAACCGCAGACCUCGUGUAACCCCACCAGCCCAGGACCUCCACAUCCAGCAGGUUCACCUCCAAGAUCGUCUGAGACCAGCCACCCAGACAGCUGCUGGAACAAUUGGUUUGCACAACCAAACAAUUUCUGCACAAACUGUCAGAAACCGUCUCAGGGACGCUCAACUGCAUGCCCGUCGUCCUCAUCGGGGUCUUGACCUGACUCCAGCUCGUCGCCGUAACAGACUUGUGUGGGCAAAUGCUCACAUUCGAUGGCGUCUGGCACGUUGGAGAGGUGUGCACUUCACGGAUGAAUCAUGGUUCACAUUGUUCAGGGCAGAUGGCAGCUGAGAAUGUCCCAGUUCUUGCAUGGCCAGCAUACUCACCGGACAUGUCACCCAUUGAGCAUGUUCGGGAUGUGCUUGACCGGCGUAUAUGACAGCGUGUACCAGUUCCCACGAAUAUCCAACAACCUCGCACAGCCAUUGAAGUGGAGUGGACCAACAUUCCACAGGCCACAAUUGACAUUCUGAUAGACUCCAUGCGACGAUGUGUUGCACUGCAUGAGGCAAAUGGUGGUCACACCAGAUACUGACCGGUUCUGGGUCCCCAGACCCCCAAUAGCGCAAAAAGCUUUAGUUAUGAUAAUAUAUAUAAUAAUAUAUAUAAUAAUAUAUAUAAAUUUCCAGUGUGUGGGGAUCAUUUGUCACCAACUGCAUCAGGUGCUACAACCCUGGUCUACAUAUCACCGUUGAUGAACAGCUUUUCCCAUCAAAGACUCGGUGCUGUUUCCUGCAGUAUAUUGCAAGUAAACCUGACAAGUUUGGGAUCAAGUUUUGGGUGGCUUGCGACCUAAAAUCCAAGUACAUUUGCAAUGUCUUCCCAUAUCUUGGCAAGGACCCCAAUCGUCCCACUGGGGAGAGACUUUCUGAAAAUGUAGUCAUGAGGCUGAUGGAACCAUUCCUAGACAAGGGCAGAAAUGUUACCACGGACAAUUUUUUCACAUCACUUUCACUUGCGCAAAAACUUCUUAGACGGAAAACCACCAUCCUCGGCACAGUCAACAAGAUUUGCAGGGAAAUUCCUCAAUCCACUAGACAGACAGAUCGCAAUGAAUUCACCACUCAGGUGUUUUCAACCGCUGCUGCCACGCUGACGGCGUAUGCGGCCAAACGGAAGAAGACAGUCUAUAUUCUUAGCAGCAUGCACAGCGUGGUUCAGACUGAUAACACUACCAAAAGGAAGCCAAACACUGUCACCCUUUACAACAAAACAAAGUGUGGCGUGGAUGUGAUGGACCAGAUGGUUCGGGAGUACACUGUCCGCAGAGGAACACGGCGCUGGCCAGUUGCCGUGUUUUAUAACAUGAUUGACAUGGCAGCACUGAAUGCACAUGUGCUGUAUCAAGCAUGCACCGGGAUGAAGGAAAGACAGGUGGACUUCCUGGUGGAGCUUGCAAGAGAGUUGGCUCACUCUCAUGUAGCUGCGAAGAAGGCAAGAAAAGAUAAGAUAAGAUAAGAUAAGAUAGAACUUUAUUAAUCCCUCGGGUGGGUUCCUCUGGGAAAUUCGACUUCCAAAAAGCACAGCAACGACCGAAGUUACAGUUACAGAAUUGUUAUAUAUAUAUAUAUAUAUAUAUAUAUAUACACACACACACACACACACACACACACACACACACACAUAUAAAUACAGAGACAAAUAUAAAUAAAAUAUACAAAGGGGAUAAAUAGAAUAAAUAGGAAUAAAAAAUAAAAAUACAAGUGAAUUGCACAUUUCAAGUAUUGAGUCUAUUGCACUGUUGACUAUUUACAAAAAGUAUUGCACAAGGUAUUGUACAGUGAGGUGAAGAGGCACUACAGCUUAGUUGUUCCCCCCCUCCUUUGUCCUCCUGUUUCCCCUCCCUCUCCCCUCCGGAGAGGAGUUAAACAGUUUGAUGGCGUGUGGGACAAAGGAGUUUUUAAGUCUGUUAGUUCUUGUCUUGGGGAGAAGCAACCUGUCACUGAACAGACUCUUCUGAUUGUUUAUGGCCGUGUGCAGAGGAUGCCCAGCAUUGUUCAUAAUGUCCAUCAGAAAAGAACAGUUGCUUUGGACACAACCCUCCACACCUAGCCCUGGAAAAAGAGCCAUGUGUCAGGUCAAACACAAAUGCAAGAACAAUCAUGCCACUGUGCGAUGUGUUCACUGCAACAGAUACACAUGUGGUAAAUGCAGACUACAGAUACCAUGGCAGUGCCAGGAUUGUGAGUGAUUGCUGAAAAUGUUGAAAUGUACUCACUCACUUUUUAUUAUUAUUUGUAAAUAUGUGUACAAAUGGUUGGUUUUUUGUACUGUUUUUAUCAAUAAAUCUCAGCAACAAAGGACAAUGAAACACAAAAGGAAGUUCACAGCUUUUAGCAGCUCCCCCACCCCCUCAUUCACACACCCCCACUCCCCUCCUUCCAGAAUUCCCAGGUAACAACCUAAUAUACAUAUGAAUGACUAGCCAAUUUAGCUUCCACUUGGCUGAAGCUAAAGCCUAGCUAAAAGCCAUUUGGCUGCUCUCCGGGUUUUAAAGGUAGAAAAGCCAAAUGGCUGCUCUCCAGGGGUUUAAGUGUGAACAUGCUGUUGCAAACUCUGCUUUAGUGGUUGCACUCAGAUGUAGAAGCCAAAGUGUCAUGGGUGCAAAACCUCUGUUUUUUAUGAUUUGCUGUUUCAUCCACUUUAGUAAAGUGUCCUGUGUUACAGCAACAGUGAGUUGUGGUAUCACUUAAUGAAUGUUAGGUUUUAAUCUGCAUUAGACUUACUGACCUUCUUUCAAUCAGCAUCCCAAUAGUCCUAAGGGCACUGACAAAAAAUACAAGUAUAAAUAGAUAAAAUGCUGUUUUGGAGAAGAUUCUCUCAGAGGGUAUCGAUGUUGCCACAAUGCAC